UGGGGAAUAUUGGACAAUGGGCGCAAGCCUGAUCCAGCAAUGCCGCGUGUGUGAAGAAGGCCUUCGGGUUGUAAAGCACUUUUAUCAGGAGCGAAACGCUGUCGGCUAAUACCCGGCGGAACUGACGGUACCUGAGGAAUAAGCACCGGCUAACUUCGUGCCAGCAGCCGCGGUAAUACGAAGGGUGCAAGCGUUAAUCGGAAUUACUGGACGUAAAGCGUGCGUAGGCGGUUUCUUAAGUCUGCUGUGAAAUCCCCGGGCUCAACCUGGGAAUGGCAGUGGAUACUGGGAGGCUAGAGUGUGUCAGAGGGUGGUGGAAUUCCCGGUGUAGCGGUGAAAUGCGUAGAGAUCGGGAGGAACAUCAGUGGCGAAGGCGGCCACCUGGGACAACACUGACGCUGAGGCACGAAAGCGUGGGGAGCAAACAGGAUUAGAUACCCUGGUAGUCCACGCCCUAAACGAUGCGAACUGGAUGUUGGUCUCAACUCGGAGAUCAGUGUCGAAGCUAACGCGUUAAGUUCGCCGCCUGGGGAGUACGGUCGCAAGACUGAAACUUAAAUGAAUUGACGGGGUCAUAGCUGUUUCCUG
rnacentral:rRNA from 1 species